UAGCUCAAUUGGUAAGAGUGUUUGCCUUGCAUACACAAGGCCCUGGGUUCAAUCCCCAG
rnacentral:tRNA from 1 species